UUUUCAACAGUUUCAUAAAAUGAUUUGUACUCAAUUUGAUUCAAAGGUUAAAAUUUUCAGAACAGAUAAUGGGACAGAAUAUGUUAAUAGUGCUUUUAGUGCCUAUCUGGAUUCUUUUGGAUAUUGCAUCAAACUAGUUGUGUUAAUAUUAGUGAACAGAAUGGGGUGUCUGAGAGAAAGAAUUAACAUUUGCUUGAGGUGGCUAGGUCUCUUAUGUUCAUCAUGAACCUUCCUAAACCUUAUUAGGGUGAUGCUAUUUUAUCAGCAACAUAUCUAAUCAAUAGAAUGCCCUUGAGGACAUUGAAUUUUAAGAGUCCUUUAGAGGUUCUAUAGGGUACCAAUUCCUAUACUAUUCCUCCAAAAAUCUUUGAGUGUGUUUGUUUUGUUCACAAGAUCAAUGUGGGCAAAUUAGAGCCUAAAGCCCUUAGACGUGUGUUUGUUGGUUAUUCUGGAACUCAAAAGGGAUAUAAGUGUUAUCAUCCACUAUCAGGAAAAUACUUUGUGAGCAUGGAUGUUACUUUUAGGGAGUCUGAACCUUAUUUACCCACACAGUCACCUCUUAAGGGGGAGCAUAAGAAGGAAGAUGUGUCUUCUAAUAUUCCUAACCAAUCCCUACCUUUUUCUUUACCGAUUAGUGGUGUUCCUAACCAAAAACAAUCACUCAAACCAAAACCCUCAAGGAGAUUGGAUAGAGUGGAUUUGCUAAGGUAUACUCAACGGAACAAGGUGGAUACAAGUGUUGAUGGUGAUACAGGAGUUGAGCAUGAUACCACUGAUCAACCUGAUGUCCUAGAUUCAAUUUCUGAACAUUUAGAAGAAGUUCAUGGUGAGUUUCCUUUGACAAGCUCUAGCUCUAAUUCUUCUGCUAAUGAUCUUGAUAUUCCCAUUGCUAUCAGACAAGGAGUUAGAUCUUGUACUAAAUAUCCUAUUUCCAAAUUUGUGUUCUAUGACUCUUUGUCUCCUUCCUACAGAGCCUUUGUAUUUUCUGUUUCUUCUGUGUCUGUACCACAGGAUUGGAAGGAGGCGUGAUCCAAAGUGGAAGGCAGCUAUGGUUGAAGAGAUGUAAGCUUUGGCAAAAAAUAAAACAUGGGAUCUUGUUGACUCUCCAUUAGAAAAGAAACUAGUGGGAUGUCAAUGGGUGUUCACAGUGAAACACAGGGCAAAUGGAUCAAUUGAAAGAUACAAGGCUAGACUAGUAGCGAAGGGUUAUACACAAACCUAUGGAGUUGAUUAUGAGGAGACAUUUGCACCUGUUGCAAAGAUGAACACCAUCAGUGUUGUUAUCCUGUGCAGCCAAUCUUGAGUGGGAUCUUCAACAGUUUGAUGUCAAUAAUGCCUUCUUACAUGGAGAUCUAGAAGAAGAGGUGUAUAUGGAAAUUCUUCCAAGUUUUGAUGAUGUUAAGACUAAAGGGAAGGUUUGCAGAUUGAAGAAAGCCUUGUAUGGUUUGAAACAGUCACCAACGGCGUGGUUUGAUAGAUUCAGUAAGGCAAUGAUUUCCUUUGGCUAUCAUCAAAGCAAUGAUGAUCAUACCCUAUUCAUGAGAUAUUUUAGAGGUAAGAUCACUUUGCUUAUUGUCUAUGUGGAUGAAAUAGUUGUGACAGGAGAUGAUAAUGAGAAAAUUGCUCAAUUGAAAACUCUC
rnacentral:misc_RNA from 1 species